rnacentral:rRNA from 1 species
AUACGUAGGGAGCGAGCGUUGUCCGGAAUUACUGGGCGUAAAGGGCGCGUAGGCGGCGCUUCAAGUCGUCUGUCAAAUGGGAGGGCUUGACCCUUUUUCGCAGACGAAACUGGAGAGCUUGAGAAGCAGAGAGGCAAACAGAAUUCCUGGUGUAGCGGUGAAAUGCGUAGAUAUCAGGAAGAAUACCAGUGGCGAAGGCGGUUUGCUGGCUGCAUACUGACGCUGAAGCGCGAAAGCCAGGGGAGCAAACGGGAUUAGAUACCCCGGUAGUCCUGGCAGUAAACGAUGUAUGCUGGGUGUGAGACUAGCGAUAGUUUCGUGCCGAAGUUAACGCGAUAAGCAUACCGCCUGGGGAGUACGGUCGCAAGAUUGAAACUCAAAGGAAUUGGCGGGG